UACGUAGGCAGCAAGCGUUGUUCGGAAUUACUGGGCGUAAAGAGUGUGUAGGCGGUGCUCUAAGUCUGUUGUGAAAUCUCCCGGCUUAACUGGGAGGGUGCGGCGGAGACUGGAGUGCUAGAGUGUGGGAGAGGUAAGCGGAAUUCCUGGUGUAGCGGUGAAAUGCGUAGAUAUCAGGAGGAACACCAAUGGCGAAGGCAGCUCGCUGGGACGUGACUGACGCUGAGACGCGAAAGCGUGGGGAGCAAACAGG
rnacentral:rRNA from 1 species